rfam:TPA: Bos taurus chromosome 11, whole genome shotgun sequence.
UCCCUGGUGGUCUAGUGGUUAAGACUCCGUGCUUUCAUUGCAGGGGGCAUGGGUUCAAUCCCUGGUCAGGGAA